rnacentral:rRNA from 1 species
GUGAGGAAUAUUGCGCAAUGGAGGCAACUCUGACGCAGCCAUGCCGCGUGCAGGAAGAAGGCGCUACGCGUUGUAAACUGCUUUUAACCGGGAAGAAACCCCAGGACGUGUCCUGGGUUGACGGUACCGGAGGAAUAAGCACCGGCUAACUUCGUGCCAGCAGCCGCGGUAAUACGAAGGGUGCAAGCGUUAUCCGGAUGCAUUGGGUUUAAAGGGUGCGUAGGCGGAGCGUUAAGUCAGUGGUGAAAUCCUGCAGCUUAACUGUAGACUUGCCAUGGAUACUGGCGCUCUUGAGUGCGCUUGAAGUGGGCGGAAUGUGCCGUGUAGCGGUGAAAUGCUUAGAUAUGGUACAGAACACCAAUUGCGAAGGCAGCUCACUAAGGCGAUACUGACGCUGAGGCACGAAAGCGUGGGGAUCGAACAGGAUUAGAAACCCCUGUAGUCC